rnacentral:rRNA from 1 species
GGAUCCAAGCGUUAUCCGGAUUUAUUGGGUUUAAAGGGUGCGUAGGCGGCCUAUUAAGUCAGGGGUGAAAGACGGUAGCUUAACUAUCGCAGUGCCUUUGAUACUGAUGGGCUUGAAUGUACUUGAGGUAGGCGGAAUGUGACAAGUAGCGGUGAAAUGCAUAGAUAUGUCACAGAACACCAAUUGCGAAGGCAGCUUACUAAAGUAUGAUUGACGCUGAGGCACGAAAGCGUGGGGAUCAAACAGG